rnacentral:rRNA from 1 species
UACAGAGGUCUCAAGCGUUGUUCGGAUUCAUUGGGCGUAAAGGGUGCGUAGGUGGCGCCGUAAGUCGGGUGUGAAAUUUCGGAGCUUAACUCCGAAACUGCAUUCGAUACUGCGGUGCUUGAGGACUGGAGAGGAGACUGGAAUUCAUGGUGUAGCAGUGAAAUGCGUAGAGAUCAUGAGGAAGACCAGUGGCGAAGGCGGGUCUCUGGACAGUUCCUGACACUGGAGCACGAAGGCCAGGGGAGCAAACGGG